GAAAUUUCUUUUUUUCUCCAUGGUUGCCAGCUAAAUAUAGCGGAUACUUCUUGUGUGCCCCGCCUUCCAACUUGAAGAUUGUAGAAGGCAAAGUAGACAAGCUCAAUAGGAACGAUGAUGAAAUUAUAUUAGAGACAGUGGUUUCUAAAAAAGAUGUUAAAAAUCUUUUUAUUCCUACAAAUAGGAAUUGGAAAAUAUACCACUCACUUCGCUAUAAUUGGGAUAUCAAGAAAAGAUAUCCCAAAUUUAAAAAUGGCAUCAUGAGUGAAAAUUUUUCCACUGAAAGGAUAAUUGGCGAUGGUAAUUGUCU